rnacentral:rRNA from 1 species
GACGAACGCUGGCGGCGUGCUUAACACAUGCAAGUCGAACGGAAAGGCCCUGCUUGCAGGGUACUCGAGUGGCGAACGGGUGAGUAACACGUGGGUGAUCUGCCCUGCACUUCGGGAUAAGCCUGGGAAACUGGGUCUAAUACCGGAUAGGAGCCAUUUUUAGUGUGAUGGUUGGAAAGUUUUUUCGGUGUAGGAUGAGCUCGCGGCCUAUCAGCUUGUUGGUGGGGUAAUGGCCUACCAAGGCGGCGACGGGUAGCCGGCCUGAGGGGGUGGACGGCCACAUUGGGACUGAGAUACGGCACAGACUCCUACGGGAGGCAGCAGUGGGGAAUAUUGCACAAUGGGCGCAAGCCUGAUGCAGCGACGCCGCGUGGGGGAUGACGGCCUUCGGGUUGUAAACUCCUUUCGCUAGGGACGAAGCUUUUUGUGACGGUACCUAGAUAAGAAGCACCGGCUAACUACGUG